UGGUUCUGGCAUCGAUGAAGAACGCAGCGAAAUGCGAUAAGUAAUGUGAAUUGCAGAAUUUUGUGAAUCAUCGAAUCUUUGAACGCACAUUGCACCUUUUGGUAUUCCGAGAGGUAUGCUUGUUCGAGUGUCGCUUAAAUAAAAUGUACCUUUUUGGGGUUUCUUUAAAGAAUAAACCAAAAGGGUGUGUGUUGAUCGUUUCUUCUUAGUUGAAGAACCUUUCCAAAAUCAGUUCGUAAGAGGGACCUAGAGUUGCAUGUGUACUGAACGCUUAAAUCUUCAAAUUUUCGUUCAAGAAGUGUAAUUUCUUGGCAGGUUUGGAGGGAGUCUUGGAUAAAAGAUUGUCAAAAAUUUUCAAUCCUUCACUCUACUUCAUAUAUUAUUAUCGACCUCGAAUCAAGUAAGAUUACCCGCUGA
rnacentral:misc_RNA from 1 species